CCUCCUCCCUCCUCCUCCCACCUCCUCCUCCCACCACCCCAAACUCAGCUUCUUCUUCCCCAAAACUCACCAUCCCGCUUCAGCUAUUGGGGUGCUGGGGGUGAGCGUGGGAGCAGGAAGAUGAGUACGGCUCUUCGGAGGAAACCCUGCAGGGAACUGAGAUGGAGAACCAGUAUUUAAAGAAUGUGCUAGUUCACCUGGAGAGAAAAUCUUGCCUGAACUCUAAUCCACUUCAUGCUCCAAGAGAAUACUAAAGAAACUAUCCCACAAGAUGACCCCAUCGGAAUAAGACCACUUUUCUCACUGGAUCUGCAGCCUUUCCGUUGAGUACAUCCUCAUCAGUCCUCUUGCAUCUCCGGCAGCUGUCAGUUGGAGACCUGGGCCUCUCGUGAAGACCGGGGGAACCACCCAAGAAGUCCGGAUUGUUACAGAAGACUUGCUCAAAUGAAAUACAGGUCGUGCUCCAUCUUUGCUUUUGGACAGAUUAAUCUCCUCAUGAGCCGGGCAGAUCACUCUUCAGUCCCCCUCUUCUCAGGGGCUCUUUUUCCAAACAUCGGAUUGGGGCCGAGCCUGAGACAUGGCCCAAGCGGAGGAAGAUGAUAAAGUAUUUUUCUCUCGAAAAAUCUUCCAAAGAUACCGUUAUCGCAAGCGGACACGGCCACUUGCCUUCAGACGAGCUUUUUUGGGUUUGUUUUUUUUAACCCCUGUUCGGAAAUCCUGCUUCUCCACAUAUAAAACCUUUCUGUGGUUUGGUUUUAAAAUUGAGUUAAAACUGAAUAAUGCCCAGACUUCUGUUUUUCUUGUUUCCCUUCAGGCUUCGCUUUCCUGCCUCCUCCAAGCACUCGGUUCCUAGCUCAUGAUUGAAUUAUUUCCUAUAUCAACAACUGAAGUCUUCUUUUCUCUACCUUCAACGCUUUCACCUCUCUUUCAGAACACCCGUAACGAUGCUCUCGAUGCUGUGCUAUAACACCGUACCUAAACAUGCGGUUGCCUUGGUAAUGGCUCUGGUCUCCGAUGCCCACCUAAAUAGGUUCUGGACUUAAAAAAAACCUCGGCACGCGCUUCAAAAUGUGUUGCGCUCUUGUCCGCCUUCUUAUUGCUCUCUGCGUCCCAGGAAUUAUGACUGGCAGGGAGAAGAGAGUGUAAGUAGU